rnacentral:rRNA from 1 species
UACGUAGGGGGCAAGCGUUGUCCGGAAUCAUUGGGCGUAAAGCGCGCGUAGGUGGCCUCAUAAGUCCGCUGUGAAAGUCAAAGGCUCAACCUUUGAAAGCCGGUGGAUACUGUGAGGCUAGAGUACGGAAGAGGCGAGUGGAAUUCCUGGUGUAGCGGUGGAAUGCGCAGAUAUCAGGAGGAACACCAAUGGCGAAGGCAGAUCUCUGGGCCGUAACUGACGCUGAGGAGCGAAAGCAUGGGGAGCGAACAGG